rnacentral:rRNA from 1 species
GAUGAACGCUGGCGGCGUGCUUAACACAUGCAAGUCGAACGGAAAGGCCCUUGCUUGCUGGGGUGCUCGAGUGGCGAACGGGUGAGUAACACGUGGGUGAUCUGCCCAGCACUUCGGGAUAAGCCUGGGAAACUGGGGCUAAUACCGGAUAGGACGAUGUGUUGGAUGCCAUUGUGGAAAGUUUUUCCGGGGUGGGAUGGGCUCGCGGCCUAUCAGCGUUUUGGUGGGGGAAUGGCCUACCAAGGCGUCGACGGGUAGCCGGCCUGAGAGGGUGUACGGCCACAUUGGGACUGAGAUACGGCCCAGACUCCUACGGGAGGCAGCAGUGGGGAAUAUUGCACAAUGGGCGGAAGCCUGAUGCAGCGACGCCGCGUGGGGGAUGACGGCCUUCGGGUUGUAAACUGCUUUCGCUUGGGACGAAGCGCAAGUGACGGUACCUGGAGAAGAAGCACCGGCUAACUACGUG